UUCUGGACAAAAUAUGGAGACAAAACAUCGCACUGGAGAAAGAACAUAUGCUUCUGGAGAAAUCUCAAGAGAAAGCUGAUGGCAUAGGUGGGGAGUCCCUGCUCAGUUUCCAGGGGGAGAUAAAGGACAGCUGUUCUCCAGUGGCCAACAAAGUUGGUGAACUAAGAAAGGUGAGCUCUGGAUGGUUUGGUGGAUUUGAGGGGAUUAUUUUUUCCUGCUCCUUUUGUAGCAGAUGCUGAUGAUGUUGAUGAACAUGGGUAUAGCUAUCAUGAUGAGUAAAAACCAGGAGCCAGGAGUCCCAGCAGGGCUGCUAACAUCAAUGGCCUCACAGGCAGGGACAGAGUCCCAGGGGCCCCGAGCAAGCAGAGCAGAGCUGCUCCCCAGACAUUUUAAUACUCUGCCAGCAGGUGAUGAACAUAUCCUCAAUGCCCUGCCACCUUAUGGGUUGCCACAGAAGUGAGUCCUUUUAGCGCUCUCUUUGAUUUCCUUUUGUUUUGCCACAUGCGAGUUGCUGACAUUUCCCAACAGCUGGAGAUGCAGUUGAAAAAAUGCAUGCAGCAGGCAAGAUGAAACCAAGACCUGCAAGAAUAGCUCCCCAUUUUACAUGGAGUCAGGAUGAAUGAUCUGUCUGUAGCACACUGGCUGUAACUUUAUUGUUGAGACCUUUGAAUGCUUGGGCUUUGGUAUCAGGAUCUGCACAUUAGUGCUGUACUUCUGUGAUCCACUUCCCUAUGCCUCCUUUGGCCCAGCCUGCUGGAAAACUAAUAUGCAGCCUUUUCUUUUCCCACCCUUCCCCAGUCACUGCUGAACAGCCACCACAGUCAGCGAUGAGCAGAUGCCGGAGCAGAGGAACCACCAGUACCAGAAUCAUAGAAUGGUUUCCUCUGGAAAGGACCUUAAGAUCAAGUUCCAGUGCUUUACUGCCUUCACAAUAAAGAACAUCUUCCUCAUA